AAAAGUGCAGGGAAACAUAAAUUCCUCAAUGGUCAGAGGUCAGAAAAGAAUAUGCUGCUCUUUUAAGUCUUUCUAUUCUAUUUGAUCAAAAGGUGGACAUUGGACAAGGACACCACCCAUUUUCUUAUUAUAACUGGGAUUUCUAAAUGCUUCGCGGGGACGUGUUGGCCCUCCUCUAAUGAGGAAAGCUAACAUGCUUUCUCAAGUGUUACUGUUCAAA
rnacentral:lncRNA from 1 species